AACGAACGCUGGCGGCGCGCCUAACACAUGCAAGUCGAACGAGAAUCCGGGGCAACCCGGUAGUAAAGUGGCAAACGGGUGAGGAAUACAUGGGUAACCUACCCUUGAGAAGGGAAUAACCCGCCGAAAGGUGAGCUAAUACCCUAUACGCUAUCUUUUUUUCGAAAAGGAUAGGAAAGCCGGGUCGAGGACCUGGUACUCAAGGAGGGGCUCAUGUCCUAUCAGCUUGUUGGUGGGGUAACGGCCUACCAAGGCUACGACGGGUAGCUGGUCUGAGAGGAUGAUCAGCCACACUGGCACUGAGAUACGGGCCAGACUCCUACGGGAGGCAGCAGUGAGGAAUAUUGCGCAAUGGGCGAAAGCCUGACGCAGCGACGCCGCGUGGGGGAUGAAGGUUUUCGGAUUGUAAACCCUUUCAUGAGGAAAGAUAAAGUGGGUAACCACUUAGACAGUACCUCAAGAAGAAGCCACGGCUAACUUCGUG
rnacentral:rRNA from 1 species